UUGUGCUUUACUUUGCACCACUCUUCCCCAAAGAUGCUUAUUUUCAUGUGCAUAUCCCCAUGUCCAUUUGGAUAAUAAUGCUUUGUUUGUUAAUCUCAAACUUUUAAUUCCAACUCCACCAAGCUUUUUUGGUUUACUCAUCUUGUCCCAGCCAAUCCAAGCAAUCUUUCUUUUAUCUGCAGUUGAUCCCCAAAGAAAAUCUCUCAUGAUUUGUAUCAAUUUCUUCUCUACCUUGACUGGCAUAUGAAAAAUGGAGAGGAAGUAAAUUGGUAAAAUGGAUAGUACAGGUUUUAUAAGAGUUAUUCUGCCUGCUUUGGUGAAGAAUCUCCUCUUCCAUAAUGCUAACUUUUUUUGGAAUUUUUCUAUGACAACCUCCCAAAUAGAUGUAUUCCUGCUCGUGGCUCCAACUGGCAGUCCUAAAUAUUUUAGAGGAAGUGAUUCUAUAUUGCAAUUAAGAAUGUCAGCCAUUGCUUGCAUCUUAUGAUCUGCCGCCACACUAAGAAUUGAACUUAUAGAUAGAUUGACUUGCAGACCUGUCAUGGCUUCAAAAAUCUGCAAUAUUAUGAAAUUGGAUCACUUUGCAUAUUGGACCAAGCGUACAUACCUCCAUGAAGUGGUAAGUCGACCAGCUCAUGCACCUCCAUGAAGUCAUUGAAGAAUUUCCUUCCUCUUCUUGAUCCACCAGGUUGCUCAUUCUUGAGUGCUGGCCCACCUCCAUGUGUCCUCUUCUCCUCCAUUCAAUUGGUACGGUUGUAGCAGCUGUAUGUAUGACAUUGGUUUGAAAAUUUGAAUUUGAAUUUGCAUUGACCAUAUUCAACGGUCCCUUUUCUCUCUCCAACUGGUUGAUUAUUCUCCGGUAACCUUCCACGGUGACGUUUGUAGCCGACCUGUAUUCGUAAUCCCAUUCAAUCCCGAGAACAUAAGAAAUGUCGUCUAUAGUUACCUGAGUUGCUGCGGGAAUUUCUAGAGCUUUGCAUUUGACUCUAAUUCUGCAGCAGGAUGGAUUACGGUUCACCGUUGCUUUGUCUAUUUCUGCUUGGUAUAAAGCGAAAGGCACAUGGUAUUAAUAUAAGUCAGGUACGAUAAAAAAAAUCAUAUGAUUUAUAAAGAUCUGCAACAUCAUCAUGCUAUAGGGACUAGGAGUGUAAGGUUUAUGAAUUAUAGUAGUCCCAAAUGGAAGAGUCAAAUAUCAUAUAUGUUGUAUGUUCAACUUUUGGACCA